AGUUUCCGGCUGCGCCAUUGCUGUGUGGGUCUUGGGACCUCGAGUUGGAGGACGCGGGAGGGUGGGGGCGGGGGCAGGGCAGCGCUGAGAUUUCCGGGGAGCGGCAGGUGAGGCCGCGCGGGGCGGGUGACGGCACCCGGGCGGGCUCCUUUCCAGGCUGGAGCCCGAGACUGCCACGUCCUGCGGGGACCAAGUGGUGGGCGAGGAGGCGUGGAGCGGCUUCAGGACUCGAGGAGCGGUUCCGAAGCAGCUAGGGACUUUUGCCUUUGCCCCCCGAGGUCGAUCGGAAGACAACCCCCAUCCCCUGCUGUAGCGGGACAGUUGGAGGGUCAUGGGUGGGUGAAGUGUUUGGCUGAGGGAAACUCAGACCAAAGAGCAGCGGCAAGAAAGCAGUUGGGUCCCCACAAAACGCCCGAAGUCAAGGAACUGAAAGAUUAGCUAAUCUGGUUU
rnacentral:lncRNA from 1 species